rnacentral:rRNA from 1 species
GCUGGCGGCACGCCUAAUACAUGCAAGUCGAACGAGGUAGCAAUACCUAGUGGCAGACGGGUGAGUAACAUGUGGGUAUCUUCCCUUUGGUGAGGAAUAACACGAGGAAACUUGUGCUAAUACCUCAUAAGUCUUUACGGAGAAAGCUUUAUGCGCCAAUGGAUGAGCCCGCACUUGAUUAGUUAGUUGGUAGGGUAAUGGCCUACCAAGACUUUGAUCAAUAGCUGAUUUGAGAGGAUGAUCAGCCACAUUGGGACUGAGACACGGCCCAAACUCCUACGGGAGGCAGCAGUAGGGAAUCUUGCACAAUGGAGGAAACUCUGAUGCAGCGAUGCCGCGUGAGUGAAGAAGGCCCUUGGGUUGUAAAGCUCUUUCGUCGGGGAAGAAAAUGACUGUACCCGAAUAAGAAGGUCCGGCUAACUUCGUGCCAGCAGCCGCGGUAAUACGAAGGGACCUAGCGUAGUUCGGAAUUACUGGGCUUAAAGAGUUCGUAGGUGGUUAAAAAAGUUGGUGGUGAAAUCCCAGAGCUUAACUCUGGAACUGCCAUCAAAACUUUUUAGCUAGAGUUUGAUAGAGGAAAGCAGAAUUUCUAGUGUAGAGGUGAAAUUCGUAGAUAUUAGAAAGAAUACCGAUUGCGAAGGCAGCUUUCUGGAUCAUUACUGACACUGAGGAACGAAAGCAUGGGUAGCGAAGAGGAUUAGAUACCCUCGUAGUCCAUGCCGUAAACGAUGUGUGUUAGAUGUUGGAAAUUUAUUUUCAGUAUCGCAGCGAAAGCGUUAAACACACCGCCUGGGGAGUACGACCG